AACAGAGAUUGGGUUGGUAACAUUGAAGAGACACUUCUCACCUGCCUGAAAUGCCCUACGUUAUCUUCAAGUUGCAAGGGCUCUGGAACAGCCCUUGCAGUGCUCCCGUAAAGUAUUGCCUGGGACCUUCAGCUGAGAACUGACUCUGUGUGUCUCCUGCCGGAGCCUGAGCUGAGUCUACAGGCUGGAAUCCCAGAGCUGCGGGAACAGGUGGAAGAAAGAAAGCAGGUUUAGGGGAUGAGAAUAAUCCACAAAGGAGAAACCAUUGGUAAGUGAAAACCAAAGAAGGGGAGAAUAAGGACAAAGCAGGACAGAAGCCUGAGGGGAAAUGGGCAAUGCCUAUGAUCAUUUAAACCCUCAAGGAGCAGCGUGAGCUGAGCAGUGGGGACUGAGAGAAACUCAACAGGAAUCUCCUGCCUCUGGCCAGGGAGAGCCACAGGUUAGAUCAGAGCUGGUUUAUAAUGAGGGGCAGCUUGAACUCCAAGAAAGGUUCAGAGGUUUGUAA
rnacentral:lncRNA from 13 species